GCACCACACCUCCCUUGGCCCAUCACAUCAUCUACCUUCAGGGCUCAUUUCCGGACUAACCUCCAGUUCAUCUACUGCUGGGAGUGAAGUAUCGAGCGACCUCUUCCUAUUAUAGAGAAAAAAAUGCAAACAAGUAAGGCAAGACAUGAGACUUAUGAUGAUGCUUGGUCAGUACUA